GGGUCAGUAGGUUGGUCGUGCCACCGGUACGUACUGGCCUCACUGAUUCCUCCUUCCUGAAGAACCGUAAUGCCAUUAAUUUGGUGUUGCGGGGAAACAGGACUGCUACUUUGAAAAAAUUAGAGUGUUUAAAGCAAGCUAACGCUUGAAUACAUUAGCAUGGAAUAAUGAAAUAGGACGAUCGAUCCUAUUUUGUUGGUUUCUAGGAUUGACGUA
rnacentral:rRNA from 1 species